rnacentral:piRNA from 1 species
UUAUAUGAAUCCAGCCUAAUGGAAGAGGA